rnacentral:ncRNA from 2 species
AAUUUUAAAACAGAAAAUGGUUGUCAUAUCGAUAUGAUAUUGACAUUAAAAGGGAAUUUGGUGUAAAUCCAAAACUGUCCCGCAGCUGUAAGCUCAUUAACUGAAGCCCUUUAAUACGUCACUUUUCAUUUAGAAAGGGAAGGCAGGGUGUAGGGAGUAAGUCAGAAGACCUGCCGUUUUUUUAUACUAAUA